rnacentral:rRNA from 1 species
CCUACGGGAGGCAGCAGUAAGGAAUAUUGGUCAAUGGAGGCAACUCUGAACCAGCCAUGCCGCGUGCAGGAAGACGGCCCUAUGGGUUGUAAACUGCUUUUGAACUAGAGAAAACCUUGGUACGUGUACCGAGUUGAUAGUAUAGUUAGAAUAAGCAUCGGCUAACUUCGUGCCAGCAGCCGCGGUAAGACGAAGGAUGCAAGCGUUAUCCGGAUUCAUUGGGUUUAAAGGGUGCGUAGGCGGACUGAUAAGUCAGUGGUGAAAUCUCUCAGCUUAACUGAGAAACUGCCAUUGAUACUGUUAGUCUAGAGUACAGAUGAUGUGGGCGGAAUAUGACAUGUAGUGGUGAAAUACUUAGAUAUGUCAUAGAACACCGAUUGCGAAGGCAGCUCACAAAACUGUAACUGACGCUGAGGCACGAAAGUGCGGGGAUCAAACAGGAUUAGAUACCCUGGUAGUCCGCACCGUAAACGAUGAUUACUCGUUGUUGGCGAUAUGACAGUCAGCGACCAAGCGAAAGCGAUAAGAAUCCACCUGGGGAGUACGCCGGCAACGGUGAAACCCGAAAUUGAAUUGACGGCGNGAGAGNGCGAGGCGACGACGAGGGGAGAGG